rnacentral:lncRNA from 1 species
CAGCUUCAAGGCCUGCAGCGUAGCGGGCUCCUGGGUGUGCCUGCUGCCCCUGUCGCGCAGCGACUCAGAGAACGUCUAAGAGGCCAUCCAGGAGGUACGCGGCCCGCCGCGGUAGGAGAUCGUGAAGCAGAAAUGCAAAUAAGCUCGAUGGCCGGCUGCUGCCCCAAGCCCUGCUGGGAGGUUAUGUAACCUACAGCAGGUGGGUGCCACAUAUUAUCUUUCCAAGUCCCAGCUGUUCUAUAUUCCGAAGUGCAUCUGGGCACGGAACGGGGGAUUGCGGGCCUGCCGCCAGCUCAAGGAGCCUGGAGUCAGAUGAGAGGGUGGAUGUGAAAGUCAGGCGUCUGCUUCCCUUUGAGGGUGCUUCCA